CCUACACACACAAUCCAUUCUAACAUUUAUACAGCACUCUCACACCCAUCACUCUCACACCCAUCACUCUCACACCCAUCACUUUCUCACACACAGCACUUUCUCACACACAGCACUCUCACACCCAUCACUCUCACACCCAUCACUCUCACACCCAUCACUCUCACACACACAGCACUCUCACACACACAGCACUCUCUCACACACAGCACUCUCUCACACACAGCACUCUCUCACACACAGCACUCUCACACACAGCACUCUCUCUCA